CGGAGAGGUGUGCAGUAUUGCCCCCACGCUUCUUAUUUUACCCAGUGACAGUUGCAGCCUGAAAAACAAAGAAUGCUACUAAAAUAUCAGCAUUGCGUCACCACCCUCGCUCCCAUUGGCCGCCUUCAAGGAGUCAGAAGGGUCUGUUUCUGACCAGCCGCUGAAAUCUUCAUAGACCUAGGGAUUCGCAUCUUUCCAUCACAAACAAAACAUCCCGGGAGCUCAUUUUUCAUCCGGAAGCUCGGUGCUGCUCCAUUAUCAUAUCACAGAGACACUGUUGAUUUUAAAACACAGGAGUGGUAAAUGACAGAGAAGGGAAUGAAGCAUAAGUUACUCUAAUGCCCCUCAAGAGACUUUUGCCCAGCAAGCUGAAUGCAUACUUCUCAACAGGACAGAAAUUAGCAUUGCAAGUCAUCGGGAUAAGACAAGGAUUCCAUGACAAUUUUUAAUCCAAAUUAAAAAUGUAUAUGGAAAUUAGA